GGUUUUCGGAUCGUAAAACUCUGUUGUUAGGGAAGAACAAGUACCGUUCGAAUAGGGCGGUACCUUGACGGUACCUAACCAGAAAGCCACGGCUAACUACGUGCCAGCAGCCGCGGUAAUACGUAGGKGGCAAGCGUUGUCCGGAAUUAUUGGGCGUAAAGCGCGCGCAGGCGGUUCCUUAAGUCUGAUGUGAAAGCCCACGGCUCAACCGKGGAGGGUCAUUGGAAACUGGGGAACUUGAGUGCARAARAGGARAGSGGAAUUCCMCGUGUAGCGGUGAAAUGCGUARAGAUGUGGAGGAACACCAGUGGCGAAGGCGGYUCUCUGGUCUGUAACUGACGCURAGGCGCGAAAGCGKGGGGAGCAAACAGGAUUARAUACCCUGGUAGUCCACGCCGUAAACRAUGAGKGCUAAGKGUUAGAGGGUUUCCGCCCUUUAGUGCUGCAGCUAACGCAUUAAGCACUCCGCCUGGGGAGUACGGUCGCAAGACUGAAACUCAAAGGAAUUGACGGGGGCCCGCACAAGCGGUGGAGCAUGUGGUUUAAUUCGAAGCAACGCGAAGAACCUUACCAGGUCUKGACAUCCUCUGACCACCCUAGAGAUAGGGCGUUCCCCUUCGGGGGACAGAGUGACAGGUGGUGCAUGGUUGUCGUCAGCUCGUGUCGUGAGAUGUUGGGUUAAGUCCCGCAACGAGCGCAACCCUUGAUCUUAGUUGCCAG
rnacentral:rRNA from 1 species